rnacentral:rRNA from 1 species
GUCGUGCGAGAAGUAUCUUCGGAUAUGAGUAGAGCGGCGGACGGGUGAGUAACGCGUAGGAAUCUACCUAGUAGAAGGGGAUAGCCCGGGGAAACCCGGAUUAAUACCGUAUACCUCCUUCGGGAGAAAGAAGGCCUCUCUUUGAAGCUUUCGCUAUUAGAUGAGCCUGCGUAAGAUUAGCUUGUUGGUGAGGUAAAGGCUCACCAAGGCGACGAUCUUUAGCUGGUCUGAGAGGACGAUCAGCCACAUUGGGACUGAGACACGGCCCAGACUCCUACGGGAGGCAGCAGUGGGGAAUAUUGGACAAUGGGCGCAAGCCUGAUCCAGCCAUACCGCGUGUGUGAAGAAGGCCUUCGGGUUGUAAAGCACUUUAAGCAGGGAGAAAAAGUUAUAAGUUAAUACCUUAUAACCGUGAUGUUACCUGCAGAAUAAGCACCGGCUAAUUCCGUGCCAGCAGCCGCGGUAAUACGGAAGGUGCAAGCGUUAAUCGGAAUUACUGGGCGUAAAGCGCGCGUAGGUGGUUUGUUAAGUUGGAUGUGAAAGCCCUGGGCUCAACCUAGGAACUGCAUCCAAAACUAACUCACUAGAGUACGAUAGAGGGAGGUAGAAUUCAUAGUGUAGCGGUGGAAUGCGUAGAUAUUAUGAAGAAUACCAGUGGCGAAGGCGGCCUCCUGGAUCUGUACUGACACUGAGGUGCGAAAGCGUGGGUAGCGAACAGGAUUAGAUACCCUGGUAGUCCACGCCGUAAACGAUGACAACUAGCUGUUGGAAGACAACGUCUUUCAGUGGCGCAGCUAACGUUUUAAGUUGUCCGCCUGGGGAGUACGGCCGCAAGGCUAAAACUCAAAUGAAUUGACGGGGACCCGCACAAGCGGUGGAGCAUGUGGUUUAAUUCGAUGCAACGCGAAAAACCUUACCUACUCUUGACAUACUUGGGAGCUCUUGUAAUGAGAGUGUGCCUUUUGGAACCAAGAUACAGGUGCUGCAUGGCUGUCGUCAGCUCGUGUCGUGAGAUGUUCCGUUAAGUCGGAUAACGAGCGCAACCCUUACCCUUAUUUGCCAGCGAUUCGGUCGGGAAC